GAGAGAGAGAGAGAGAGAGAGAGAGAGAGAGAGAGAGAAGGUGAUAUCGACCGAGUCAGUUCCAGCGGGUGUGAGGUGGUGCGCGCGUGUGUGUGUGGCGUGUUUCCCUCUCUGCCACCUCUCCCGCCUCUCCCUCGCCCCUGGCAUGCCCAUGGGCGGCGUGACCAGGUGUGAGAGGCCCCCAGCGAACAGGUGCGCCUAGGCAAGCCACGUACCAUGCCCCCCCUGUGCCCGCGGACCCAGGGUGAAGCGGACGGCGCGGACGGAACUGACGGGGAGAAAGAACAGGAGAAAGAAUAAAAAGGAAAAAAGAAGUAGAAGGAGACGGUUUAAGAAGGAAAAAAAAGUGAAUAGAGGAAAAGAGAAGAGAAAGGAGAAGCGAGAGAACGUAGAAGAAGCGGUUGAAAUAAGAACGUAGAGAAAGAAGGGAAAGAAGAGAAGAGAAAGGAGAAUUGGGAGAACGUAGAAGAAGGGGUUGAAAUAAGAACGUAGAGGAAGAAGGGAAAGAAGAGAAGAUAAGGAGAAUUGGGAGAACGUAGAAGAAGGGGUUGAAAUAAGAACGUAGAGAAAGAAGGGAAAGAAGAGAAGAUAAAGGAGAAUUGGGAGAACGUAGAAGAAGGGGUUGAAAUAAGAACGUAGAGAAAGAGGGGAAAGAAGAGAAGAUAAAGGAGAAUUGGGAGAACGUAGAAGAAGGGGUUGAGAUAAGAACGUAGAGAAAGAAGGCAGAAGAGA